GCUUCGGUAGUCCAAUGGCAGGAGACAGUAGAUUCAAACCCUAUACAGUGUGAGUUCAAAUCUCACCCGAAGUA
rnacentral:tRNA from 1 species